rnacentral:rRNA from 1 species
UACGGAGGGAGCUAGCGUUGUUCGGAUAUACUGGGCGUAAAGCGCACGUAGCGGCGCCGUAAGUCAGGGGUGAAAUCCCGGAGCUCAACUCCGGAACUGCCCUUGAGACUGCAGUGCUAGAAUCUUGGAGAGGCGAGUGGAAUUCCGAGUGUAGAGGUGAAAUUCGUAGAUAUCCGGAAGAACACCGGUGGCGAAGGCGGCCCGCUGGGCAGGAAGACACCGCCAAGGUGGUCGGCUGACGCUGAGGCGCGACAGCGUGGGGAGCAAACAGG